rnacentral:tRNA from 1 species
CGGAGAGUCGUCAAUGAGGUAAUUGGCACCUGACUGUAAAUCAGGAGGCUCCGGCCUUCGGGAGUUCGAAUCUCUCCUCUCCGA